rnacentral:rRNA from 1 species
UGGGGAAUAUUGCACAAUGGGCGCAAGCCUGAUGCAGCCAUGCCGCGUGUGUGAAGAAGGCCUUCGGGUUGUAAAGCACUUUCAGCGGGGAGGAAGGCGGUGAGGUUAAUAACCUCAUCGAUUGACGUUACCCGCAGAAGAAGCACCGGCUAACUCCGUGCCAGCAGCCGCGGUAAUACGGAGGGUGCAAGCGUUAAUCGGAAUUACUGGGCGUAAAGCGCACGCAGGCGGUCUGUCAAGUCGGAUGUGAAAUCCCCGGGCUCAACCUGGGAACUGCAUUCGAAACUGGCAGGCUAGAGGCUUGUAGAGGGGGGUAGAAUUCCAGGUGUAGCGGUGAAAUUCGUAGAGAUCUGGAGGAAUACCGGUGGCGAAGGCGGCCCCCUGGACAAAGACUGACGCUCAGGUGCGAAAGCGUGGGGAGCAAACAGG